UCUUUAGAUAAUAAAUGAAUCUUCAAGACAAAGAUAAAAGUUGAAAAUAUUGACAAACAAACGGGCUAAGUGAUUAACUUACCCCCCAGCCCCAAAUCCCCUUUGCCCUCGUUCAAGACUCUCAACCCUAGCACCAGCAGCUAGUUCCACUCUCUCUAUCUUUCUCAAAACACCUUUUUUUUUUUCUUUACUUCGUCUGCGGGUCUGCCUCUGAUUGUCUUCUUCUUUUGUGCUUUCUUUAUCAGCAACCCAACCGUUGAGCACAUCAUUGGGUGAAAAAGCUAUUUGCAGCGUGAAGAGAUUGAAUUGGUAUAUUUAUUUAAAUUGGCAUAUUCCUCUGUUUUAGCUGGCAAAUAUAUAUAAUAAAAUGGCAUGCUUGACUCUUGGGGUAAUGAAGUUAAGGGUCUGCAAACUCUGCAGAUGAUUUUUAGUAAUG